AUUCAGUUGGGCGACUCUAGCGAGACUGCCGGUAAUAAACCGGAGGAAGGUGGGGAGUGACGUCAAAUCAUCAUGCCCCUUAUGACCUGGGCUACACACGUGCUACAAUGGUUGGUACAACGAGUUGCGAGUCGGUGACGGCGAGCUAAUCUCUUAAAGCCAAUCUCAGUUCGGAUUGUAGGCUGCAACUCGCCUACAUGAAGUCGGAAUCGCUAGUAAUCGCGGAUCAGCACGCCGCGGUGAAUCCGUUCCCGGGCCUU
rnacentral:rRNA from 1 species